rnacentral:rRNA from 1 species
AUGAAAAUCAGUGGUUGGAAGGAAAAGCUGCUAUCAGCAGGAGGAAAGGAAAUCCUUCUCAAAUCGGUUGUACAAGUUAUCUCAACUUAUGCAAUGUCCAUCUUUAAAAUUCCUAAAAAAAUAUGCAAAGGAAUCAUUGACGCGAUGUCGCAUUUUGGGUGGGGUGACGAAGACAAUCAAAAGAGAAUGCAUUGGAUGACAUGGUGGAAGAUGUGUGUACCAAAAGACCAAGGAGGAAUGGGUUUUCGAGACAUACAUUGUUUCAAUUUGGCCUUGUUAGCCAAACAAGCGUGGCGCCUGCUUGAUAAUCCUGACUCCUUAUGUGCCACUAUUUUGAGAGCUAAAUAUUUUCCAGAUGGAGAUUUAAUGAACGCGAGUCUUAAAAAAGGAUCUUCUUUCACUUGGCAAAGCAUUAUGGCGGGAGUGGUUUCUCUCAAAAAUGGUUAUAUUUGA